GACGUAGGGCGCGAGCGUUGUCCGGAAUUAUUGGGCGUAAAGGGCUCGUAGGCGGUUCGUCACGUCGGGAGUGAAAACUCGGAGCUUAACUCCGAGCCUGCUUCCGAUACGGGCAGACUAGAGGUAGGCAGGGGAGAGCGGAACUCCUGGUGUAGCGGUGGAAUGCGCAGAUAUCAGGAAGAACACCGGUGGCGAAGGCGGCUCUCUGGGCCUCACCUGACGCUGAGGAGCAA
rnacentral:rRNA from 1 species